AGAGAUAGUGCCGAAAGAGAGAGCUGGUGUAGCUUUAAAAGAGAGAGAGAAAGAGAAAAUGGGAGGAAAAAAAAAAAUAAAAUAAAAGCCCAACCCAGUCCCUCUGCUGGAGCAUCAGCCGGUACCAUCAACCACGGUGGAGUCUUUCCUGCAGUCUCCACUUUGUUUUAUUUUCCUCCCUUCUCAUCGGCUUCGGAUUCCUUCACACAGUUUCGAGUUCCUGUGGCGCCCGCGACCCCCUCCCCGCCUCUCUCCACCCGCGCUGCGGGCCAGGCAGGAGGGAGGGAGCCCCGAAGGCUCCGCGGAGGCGGCGGCGGCGGCGGCGGCGGCUCCUUGCCGGCUGCUCACAAAGUCCGGCCGGCCGAGGCAGUCGACAACUCCUCUCAACUUCUGCCGAUCAGCGGGCGAAGCAACACGCUUCCUGCGCGUCCCUCCCGGGGGCUGAGCCGGUAGAGAGAUGCUGUCACUGUCCCCACAUCAUAACAGAUGACACAGAAACACAGAGAACUGCCCCAGUGGUAGAGUCAGCAUGCGAAUCCAGGAGGUUACCCAGGUUCCAGGAACAAGGGAGUGGUUCUAGAAGGUUUCAGUUGGACUAAUGAUUUGGUGUAGCUGUUGCAGCAGAGCUGCAAACCCUGGAAGGUUGAGCAAGGCCUCUGAAGUUCCAUCCCAUAAUCAUCUCCUCCCAGGCCUCCGGAAGGUGAAGACCGUGUGUAGUAGCUCUACUCCAGGAGCCAAGCAACCGUUCCUCUGCUGCCUCCCAAAACCCAGUGCCUGGGGGCCAGGAUGCCGCUUCUCCGACCUGCAGACCAUACUGCCUGGGAAAGCCCAGAUUCUAGCCUGUUCACGUGUGCUUGCUUCAGUAAAAGGGGCUGUGUAAGAAAGAGCGUGUGUCUUCCCCCUCAGGGAACCUCACACGUGGCCAGGGCUCACAUAUGGCCGAGACACGCUGCGGUGAAUCCACGGCUCCUCAAGAAUCAGGCCACAGCCGUUAUCCAUCACCACCUCCCAGCAGCGAACCCAGCAGUGCGCUUCGUGUCUUCUGGGAGAUGGGAGACAAGCCAAGGCUGCGGCAGCCGGCUACCUGGCUGAGCCCCCAGACGGCCCCACACCUGGGAAGUUCUCCUGCACAAGAGCCUCUGCCGUCCUAAUUCUCCCCAACCCAAGGCUGAAUUAUCUCUUAAACUGUGUUCCGAAAAACAACUUGUAAGAGUGCCACCAACGCCUGCAAAGUAAUUUGGGUUUCUUCCCUUUUUUUUUUUUUUUUUUCUUGCCAUUAAAACUGGAAUGUUAUGUCUUCCUUGCUCGGAUAAUGUCUGAUUGAAUCAACUCACUGUGGUUUUGUGCUGGAUAUGAUACUGUUUGGUUUGACUGUUUAUUCUCACUAUAUUUGGGAGGCAUUUUCUUAGUAGGUCUGCAGUCAGAGCUUAAUCUUUGGUGUUUUAGGCCCCUGAAAAGCUAGACUAGUUUCACCUGCCUUUCUCUCAGGGUGAGAAGGACUCCAAAGACAUCCAGACGUUUUGUCAGUGGCCUACGAUGGAACCCAAACUUCUCUGGAGAAAGCAGAAGAGGGACACAGUGGCAGAGCCCUUAAAGAUACUAAAAUAGUCUUUCUAAAAUGCUAUCGCGACAAAAAUCAGCUUUUUCUUCUUGGUGGAAGUUGUACACGCUACUCCGUUCCUCUUUUUCAAGUCUCUCAUAAAGGCUCCCCUUUUUCUGGAAAAUCUCUCCUGAGUCUCCCCAAAGCCAGCUAGAAAUCAACUCAGUCUAUCUGGUGCAGGAACUUAACACACAUUUUCUUCCAUUAGCCCUUAUACCACAGCUACUACAGUAGCCAAGCACUGUGCCAGGCAUUCUGGACUAAAAGAUGAAAAGACAGCCCUACCCUGAUGACCUAUCUUCCAGGAGGAGUUGGUUAGGGAUUCAGGUACUAUCAGAGGUCAUAUGGAUUGGUUCUUAUAGGUUAGAUACAGCUAUAAUAAAUGGCUUAUAGUCAGGAAGGCCCUGCAAGAGCUAUCUAUUGAUAUGGACAGGGAGACCCUGGAGGCUUUAAGGCCUGGACCAGUAGCCUCCAUUCAGGUAAGGCUGGGGACAGCUUCUUUAUCAAGAUACCAAAGUUCUUGUGUGCUUCCAAAACUCUUAUGGAUGGGAAGUUUCUCAGCCUUGGCCCCCCCAAAAGCAUUAAGUACUGAUGCCUCUUGGGGCAUAUAACACACUGUGACCUGCCCUAGUGCAGGGCUGAUCUCUGGAGUUUCAUGGGUGGCCCUACCUGAAAGUGCACAGAGAAUGGAGGCGGCAAAGAAAGCUGUGCUUGAUUCCACCUGUUUCCUUUCUGGACCAGUUAACCACCUGAUCUAUUUCUUCCAUUCCCAAAGGGUUUCUUCUUUAAUAUAAAUCUCUGCUAGAUUUUUUAAAAUGUAAAAUAUUACCCCUCUACCGUGAUACUAACAUUUUGCUGUGUAUCCUCCAUUUGUUUCUCAUGCAAACAUAUCAAUAGAUCUUCCUUAACUUACAACGGGGUUACCUCCUGAUAAAACCCUCCCAGAUGGAAAAUACCAUAAGUCGAAAAUGUGCUUAAUACACUUAACCCUCCCAAACAUCACAGCUUAGCUCGGCCUACGUUAAACAUGCUCAGAACACUUACACUAGCCUACAGUUGGGCAAAAUCAUCUCACCCAAGGCCUAUUUUAUAAUAAAGUGUCCAAUACACCAUGUAAUGUAUUGCAUACUGAACUGAAAGUGAAACACAGAACGGCUGUCUGAGUACAGAACGGUUAUAAGUAUGUCGGUUGUUUACUGUGAUCUCGGGGCUGACGGGGAGACCUGGUCGCUGCCACCGCCCAGCAUCAUGAGGGAGGGUUUCCCUGCCUAUCGCUAGCCCGGGAAAGGAUCAAAACUCAACAUUCAAAGUAUGGUUCCUACUGAAUGCGGACCACUUUCACACCAUGGUAAAGCCGUAAAAUCGUACAUUGAAACUCUGUAUAUGUGUUGUACAGACGUGGAAUAAUAGACGCGGCUCAGCAACUUGGUUUCUUUGUUACACAGUGUAUUAUAGACCCCUUUCUAUGUUAUUACAUGUAAAUCCAAGUUAUCAUUAUUUUAUUUUUCUUUUUUUGCGGUAUGCGGGCCUCUCACUGUUGUGGCCUCCCCCAUUGUGGAGCACAGGCUCCGGAUGCGCAGGCUCAGGGGCCCAGCCGCUCCGCGGCAUGUGGGAUCUUCCCGGACCGGGGCACGAACCCGUGUCCCCUGUAUUGGCAGGAGGACUUUCAACCACUGUGCCACCAGGGAAGCCCCCAAGUUAUUAUUUUUAAAAGCUGUAAAACGUCUCAAUGUGUGGAUAAGCCAUGCUUUCAUAAACCAGCACCCUACUGAUGGAUUUUCAAGUCAUUCUAAGUAUCUUGAAUGUCACUCUAGGCAGUUUUGCAAUAAAUGUUCUUUUACAUACA